UACCUUCUUGUAUAAGCACUGUGCUAAAAUUGCAGAAACUAAGACCAUCUUGGUUUUUGUAAUAAUGCUAGCAGAGUACACACAAGAAGAAAAGUAACCGCA
rnacentral:miRNA from 1 species